GCGGCGGGCUACCAUGCAAGUCGAACGGUGAACAGCGCAAGCAGCUUGCUGCUUCGCUGACGAGUGGCGGACGGGUGAGUAAUGUCUGGGAAACUGCCUGAUGGAGGGGGAUAACUACUGGAAACGGUGGCUAAUACCGCAUAACGUCGCAAGACCAAAGAGGGGGACCUUCGGGCCUCUUGCCAUCAGAUGUGCCCAGAUGGGAUUAGCUUGUUGGUGAGGUAACGGCUCACCAAGGCGACGAUCCCUAGCUGGUCUGAGAGGAUGACCAGCCACACUGGAACUGAGACACGGUCCAGACUCCUACGGGAGGCAGCAGUGGGGAAUAUUGCACAAUGGGCGCAAGCCUGAUGCAGCCAUGCCGCGUGUAUGAAGAAGGCCUUCGGGUUGUAAAGUACUUUCAGCGGGGAGGAAGGUGUUGUGGUUAAUAACCGCAGCAAUUGACGUUACCCGCAGAAGAAGCACCGGCUAACUCCGUGCCAGCAGCCGCGGUAAUACGGAGGGUGCAAGCGUUAAUCGGAAUUACUGGGCGUAAAGCGCACGCAGGCGGUCUGUCAAGUCGGAUGUGAAAUCCCCGGGCUCAACCUGGGAACUGCAUUCGAAACUGGCAGGCUUGAGUCUUGUAGAGGGGGGUAGAAUUCCAGGUGUAGCGGUGAAAUGCGUAGAGAUCUGGAGGAAUACCGGUGGCGAAGGCGGCCCCCUGGACAAAGACUGACGCUCAGGUGCGAAAGCGUGGGGAGCAAACAGGAUUAGAUACCCUGGUAGUCCACGCCGUAAACGAUGUCUACUUGGAGGUUGUGCCCUUGAGGCGUGGCUUCCGGAGCUAACGCGUUAAGUAGACCGCCUGGGGAGUACGGCCGCAAGGUUAAAACUCAAAUGAAUUGACGGGGGCCCGCACAAGCGGUGGAGCAUGUGGUUUAAUUCGAUGCAACGCGAAGAACCUUACCUGGUCUUGACAUCCACAGAACAAUCCAGAGAUGGAUUGGUGCCUUCGGGAACUGUGAGACAGGUGCUGCAUGGCUGUCGUCAGCUCGUGUUGUGAAAUGUUGGGUUAAGUCCCGCAACGAGCGCAACCCUUAUCCUUUGUUGCCAGCGGUUAGGCCGGGAACUCAAAGGAGACUGCCAGUGAUAAACUGGAGGAAGGUGGGGAUGACGUCAAGUCAUCAUGGCCCUUACGACCAGGGCUACACACGUGCUACAAUGGCGCAUACAAAGAGAAGCGACCUCGCGAGAGCAAGCGGACCUCAUAAAGUGCGUCGUAGUCCGGAUUGGAGUCUGCAACUCGACUCCAUGAAGUCGGAAUCGCUAGUAAUCGUGGAUCAGAAUGCCACGGUGAAUACGUUCCCGGGCCUUGUACACACCGCCCGUCACACCAUGGGAGUGGGUUGCAAAAGAAGUAGUUAGCUUAACCUUCGGGAGGGCGCAUC
rnacentral:rRNA from 1 species